GUAUACAUGUGUUAGAGUGGGUGAAAGUUCACAUUAGUUGGGGAUUGGACUGAUGAUCUCCUUAUAUGGACUUGGGCAAUCCUCCCCUCGUGAGCUAGCUUUUGGGGUUUAGUUAGGCCCAAAUGUCAUAUCUUUACAGCGGGGUAGUGUGAGUUUUAGGCUAUGUGAGGUUGCCGGUUGAAGUUUUUACGGAUUUGCCCUGUAAUAUCCCCACACGACCC
rnacentral:lncRNA from 1 species